rnacentral:rRNA from 1 species
GAUCCUGGCUCAGGAUGAACGCUGGCGGCGUGCCUAACACAUGCAAGUCGAACGAAGCAAUCAGAAAGAAGUUUUCGGAUGGAUUUCUGGUUGACUGAGUGGCGGACGGGUGAGUAACGCGUGGAUAACCUGCCUCACACUGGGGGAUAACAGUUAGAAAUGGCUGCUAAUACCGCAUAAACGCACAGUACCGCAUGGUACGGUGUGAAAAACUCCGGUGGUGUGAGAUGGAUCCGCGU